UACGUAGGGUGCAAGCGUUAAUCGGAAUUACUGGGCGUAAAGCGUGCGCAGGCGGUUUUGUAAGUUUGUCGUGAAAGCCCCGGGCUCAACCUGGGAAUUGCGAUGAAGACUGCAAGGCUUGAAUCUGGCAGAGGGGGGUAGGAUUCCACGUGUAGCAGUGAAAUGCGUAGAGAUGUGGAGGAACACCGAUGGCGAAGGCAGCCCCCUGGGUCAAGAUUGACGCUCAUGCACGAAAGCGUGGGGAGCAAACAGG
rnacentral:rRNA from 1 species